rnacentral:rRNA from 1 species
UACGUAGGCAGCAAGCGUUGUUCGGAGUUACUGGGCGUAAAGAGUGUGUAGGCGGUGUUCUAAGUUCGGUGUGAAAUCUCCCGGCUCAACUGGGAGGGUGCGCCGAAAACUGGAAUGCUCGAGUGUGGGAGAGGAAAGCGGAAUUCCUGGUGUAGCGGUGAAAUGCGUAGAUAUCAGGAGGAACACCUGCGGUGUAGACGGCUUUCUGGACCAUUACUGACGCUGAGACACGAAAGCGUGGGUAGCAAACAGG